UAAAUGUUAUGUAACACCCCUUACCCGUAUUCGAUGCCGGAAUAGGGUACGAGGUAUUACCAAAACACACACACUUAUAACCAUAUUAAAUCGAGUUGUAAAAUUUCAUCUAAGCUAAAACUUUUAAAUUGUUAUUCUUAAUUCGCUAAUUAGGGUUUACAUAGCCCAAUAUACUCACAAUCUUUCAUUUCCUCGUCGUAUGAAUUAAAAAAUUUCCAUUUACUUAUUGAAUUCAUCACGAAUACCUGAAUUGAUCUGUAUCAUUACAUAUUCUCAUGUCGUCACAUUUUCCUAUUUAACUAUUGUAAUAUAUCAAUUAUUCAAUAUCUUAUAAGCUAAGUGUCACAUAUACUUUAUCCAUUCAUCUCCCAUACAACUAUCAAUAUUAGCUACAAAGAUAGAACAAAUUUUCUCUGUUCGAUGUUAAAUCAAAACAUAUUACUUCAUUACCAACUACCCUUACUAAAUAUACACCUUAAAUUAGUCCAAGUGUUUAACUAUUCACCCAUGACAUAAAUAUAUUUUAUCUAUUAUUGCAGAAUAUAAAUGUGUUACCCAAAUCAUAAUUCACCUCACAUAGUAACUAAGUUAAUUUUUAUCAUUUGUCAAAUAAAUUACAAAACAAAUUAUAUAACAAAAUAUAGAUACAUUUUAAACCUCACCAAUAAACAAAUUCUUAUGGCAUUAAAUAAUUAUCACGCAUCAAAGACAAACGUAUUUGAUAUUUCCAUCACAUAAACCGGAUUAAUCAGUGCAAACUCAAUGAUGUAAUCAUCCUUUUAACUUACCUAACCAAGCCAAAUUAUACCAUCAUCUCACACAUAGAAUGUCCCACCUAUCAUACUUCUCAAUUAUGUCACUUAAUAGACCAAAUAUACCUAACGUUUAUCAUCAUGAUCAAUCCACAACCAAAAUACAUCCAUAUAUCUAAAUUACCACACACAUAUAUAUAUACCAUACACACAUACUAUAAAACUUUAUUUUCCCCAUGAGCUUAAACCAUGACUAAUAAUGCACAAAUAUAAGUAUCAUUUCUAUUUCAUCAUUUAUCAAUUAUAAUCGAACAUAUGACCAAUUAUAGACAAAUCAUUCAUAUAUUCUCCAAUUUUCCUCCUCCUCCUCUCCAUUCCACAUCCUUAAUGUGUAUAAUACAUUUAAGCAACAUUUUCCAUACUAUCACUAUUUUCCUGUAUGUAAAUUCAAGUUGUCUAUCUGAGUCAGAGUCACUAAUUUAUUUAUAUCUCGAGCUACAGAGCUCAAAAUUAAGAUCCGUAAAUUUUUCCUGAAACUAGACUCACAUAUCUUCUUACCAUAAAAUUUUCAGAAUUUUUGGUGCAUCCAAUAAGUACAGUUUAUUCUUUAAAGUUUCCCCUGUUGCACUGCUCGACAGUUCUGACCUCUCUUCACUAAAGAUUGAUUAUCUCAUUGAACAGAAUUCAAAUGGUAUUCCCGUUUAUUUCUCAUGAAAAUAGACUCAUGUAGGAUUCUAAAAAUAUAAGUUUUAACCCAUAAUUAAUUUUGUACAAUUUUUAAUGAUUUUCCAAAGACAGAACAGGGGAUUCCGAAAUUAUUCUGACUCUGUCUCACAAAAUUUAUUAUAUCUCAUGAUUUACAAUUCCAUUGCUUACACCGUUUCUUCUAUGAGAAACUAGACUCGAUAAGCUUUAAUUUCAUAUAUUACUCAUCUUCUAAUUCAAUUCCCACGAUUUUUGGUGAUUUUUCAAAGUUGGCACACUGCUGCUGCCCAAAACUGUUUUAGUGCAACAUUUUGAUAACCAUUUUGACCCUAAACUUUUAACACAUGACAAUUUCAUCCCUAGGCUCAGAAAAUGAAAUUCUUGCAAUUUAAUCCUUGAUCCAAGCCUAAUAGUUCUCAUACAUAUUAAUAACAGCCCAUGGAUACCAUGAAAUUUCAGAAUUUUCCCACAGUUUCAAUACUUUUCAACUUAAUCCCUAAAACAUAUUUUCAUCCAAAAUUCUUUAAUAAAACACCUUUAAACAUUCAUUAACAUAUCAAUUUCAUCAUCAAAUAACAAAAAUCAUAUGAACUUAUCAAUGGUAUCUUUCUAAACUUUCAACAAAAUGAGAAACUAGUAGAAUACUAGGUUGGACCUAAUUGUAAAAGUCUAAAAAUAUAAAAAUUUUAAUGAAAAAGUAAGAAUUUCACUUACUUGAAGCUAAAAUAUGGAAGACCAGCUCUAAACCCUCUUCCAUGGCUAUUUCCCACCGAAAUUUCAAGAAUAAUUGGUCUUGAAAUCCUUAAAAUAAACUUUGGCCACAUAAACUUUAUUGUAAUUCCAAUUUUGUCCUUAAAUACAUAAAAAUCUUUGAUUUUUUUAACGGUAUGCCGCCUCUGCCACUUAAGUUGGUCCAUUUACUCCCUUAGUCCUUUCUUAUUUAAUUUCUAAGCUAUUUAAUCACUUUAGCAAGUUUUGCAUCUUUUCAAUUUAGUCCUUUUUAAUUAAUUGACUGCCGAAACGUUAAAAUUUUCUGACGAAACUUUAACACUACCAUAUUGACACUCUGUAAAUAUUUAUAAAAAUAUUUUCGGCUCGAUUUAUAACAUCGAGGUCUCGAUACCUCUUUUCCUCAACUUCUUAACUUAAUAAAUUUUUAUAAAACACAAAUUACUAAUUCAAAAAUAUCUUAAAAAUCAUAUUUGACCCGUAAUUAUUAAAUAAUAAAAUUUUUUGAGCUUAUUUUCUGAAUUUGGUGGUCUCGUACCACUGUUUUCAAUAUUUCUAAAAAUCGGGCUAUUACAUGUUAUGUGUUUUAUAUGAAAUUGAAGAGAAAGAAAAGAAAGUAAAGGACCUAAUUGAAUAAAAAGGAAAAGAGAAGGCUAAGGAGUGAAGGAAGACAUCAUCUCAACCUUUUUGUUGUAAGUACUACAAGAUUAUUUUUUUAAAAAUUAUUUUAUUUAAAUGCCUAUAUUAUAGUAUAGAAUUAUUUAGGAAUAAAAUAAAAUAAAGUAAAAUAAAAGAUUAUGGAACCAUGAAAUUUGUAAAGAAAAUUAUAGAUGGAAAAUAUAAGAUGGUAUAUUGUUUAAACAUUAAGUAAAUAUUGUGACAAAACUAUAUAUAUGUGAAAAUGGUGUGAUAAUUGUGAAUUGUGAAAUGUGCACUAAAUUGUAAUGAUGGAGAAAUGAGAAAUCUUUUUCAAAAUAAUUCUAUAAAGUAUUUAAAUGAAUGAGAUUCAGUUUUAACGCCCAAGUAGAUGGAAUUUAGAACUACCAGGAUAUUAGUGGCAUGCCAUUAAGGAAUUUUAGCGCUCUCUGAUUAUUAGCACGUUGGUGCUCUCUGAUUAUUAGCACAUUGGUGCUCUCUGAUAUUUAGCACGCCAGUGCUCUCUGUUUAGCACAUCUGUGCUUUCUGUAUAGCACUUUAGUGCUCUCUGUUCAUUGGUGCAUAAUAAUGCACCUCUGUAUUUGUUCCGUAUAUCCAGUGUGUUCUAUAAAAUCUACUUUGGGCUAAUAUUAUGAUUUGUGGAUAAAAGCGAAUAAUUAAUGUGUUAAGGUAAGUUUUAUGAAGUUUAAAUGUAUGUAAAUAUGUAAUAGCAGAAUGAGUUUGAAAUAUUUUAUUUAGAUUUAUUUAUUUGUUUAUUCUUGUGGUGCUUACUAAGCCUUCACCGGCUGAACGCGUUUAAUUUUAACGCGUAGGUACAGUUUGA
rnacentral:lncRNA from 1 species